UACAGAGGGUGCAAGCGUUGUUCGGAAUUAUUGGGCGUAAGGCGUGCGCAGGCGGUGAUGUAAGACAGAUGUGAAAUCCCCGGGCUCAACCUGGGAACUGCAUUUGUGACUGCAUCGCUGGAGUGCGGCAGAGGGGGGUGGAAUUCCGCGUGUAGCAGUGAAAUGCGUAGAGAUGCGGAGGAACAUCGAUGGCGAAGGCAGCCCCCUGGGCUAGCACUGACGCUCAGGCACGAAAGCGUGGGGAGCAAACAGG
rnacentral:rRNA from 1 species